CUGGCUCAGGAUGAACGCUGGCGGCAGGCUAAUACAUGCAAGUUGAACGGUAACAAUGUGUAGCAAUACGAUGAUGACGAGUGGCGCACGGGUGCGUAACACGUGUGUAACCUACCUUAUACAGGAACAUAACGUUGAGAAAUCGGCGCUAACAUUCCAUAAUAUUAUUUGUAGGCAUCUAUGAAUAAUUAAAACUCCGGUGGUAUAAGAUGGGCACGCGUUCCAUUAGCUAGUUGGUAAGGUAACGGCUUACCAAGGCAACGAUGGAUAGGGGUUCUGAGAGGAUAAUCCCCCACACUGGAACUGAGACACGGUCCAGACUCCUACGGGAGGCAGCAGUAAGGAAUAUUGGGCAAUGGAGGCAACUCUGACCCAGCCAUGCCGCGUGCAGGAAGACGGCCCUAUGGGUUGUAAACUGCUUUUAAUAGGGAUUAAAGUCGACUACGUGUAGUUGUUUGCAAGUACCUAUAGAAUAAGCAUCGGCUAACUCCGUGCCAGCCGCAGC
rnacentral:rRNA from 1 species